rfam:Cronobacter sp. DJ34 Bact_A5_14, whole genome shotgun sequence.
ACUUCCUGAGCCGGAACGAAAAGUUUUUCGGGAUGAGCGUUCUGAGGGACUUUUGGCUUACGGUUGUGAUGUUGUGUUGUUGUGUUUGCAUUUGGUCUGCUAUUCAGACCAUGGUAGCAAAGCUACCCUAUUUCACUUCCUGUACAUUUACCCUGUCUGUCCAUAGUGAUUAAUGUAGCACCGCGAAUUGCGGUGCUUUUUUUU